rnacentral:rRNA from 1 species
AUUGAACGCUGGCGGCAGGCCUAACACAUGCAAGUCGAACGAGUGGCGGACGGGUGAGUAAUGUCUGGGAAACUGCCCGAUGGAGGGGGAUAACUACUGGAAACGGUAGCUAAUACCGCAUACCAUCGGAUGUGCCCAGAUGGGAUUAGCUAGUAGGUGGGGUAACGGCUCACCUAGGCGACGAUCCCUAGCUGGUGUGAGAGGAUGACCAGCAACACGUGGACUUAGACACGGGCCAGAAUCUAACGGGAGUCAGCAGUGGGGAAUAUUGCACAAUGGGCGCAAGCCUGAUGCAGCCAUGCCGCGUGUAUGAAGAAGGCCUUCGGGUUGUAAAGUACUUUCAGCGGGGAGGCGUUACCCGCAGAAGAAGCACCGGCUAACUCCGUGCCAGCAGCCGCGGUAAUAC